UUUUUAUUGAGAGUUUGAUCCUGGCUCAGGACGAACGCUGGCGGCGUGCCUAACACAUGCAAGUCGAGCGAUGAAGUUUCCUUCGGGAAACGGAUUAGCGGCGGACGGGUGAGUAACACGUGGGUAACCUGCCCCAUAGAGGGGAAUAGCCUUCCGAAAGGAAGAUUAAUACCGCCUAACAUUGCAG
rnacentral:rRNA from 1 species